rnacentral:rRNA from 1 species
CGGAGGAUCCAAGCGUUAUCCGGAAUCAUUGGGUUUAAAGGGUCCGUAGGCGGUCUUGUAAGUCAGUGGUGAAAGCCCAUCGGCUCAACCGUGGAAUUGCUCCCAGUACUGCGUCGCUCGAGGGGGGAUAGGGGUCUGCGGAACUACCGGUGGAGCGGUGAAAUGUGUUGAUAUCGGUGGGAACGCCAGUGGCGAAAGCGGCAGACUUGACCCUUCCUGACGCUGAGGCGCGAAAGCUAGGGGAGCAAACGGGAUUAGAUACCCCGGUAGUCCUAGCCUUAAACGUUGGGUACUGAGUAGAAAGGGGACCGAUACCCCCUUCUGCUGGAGCGAAAGUGUUAAGUACCCCGCCUGGGGAGUAUGGUCGCAAGGCUG